ensembl:lncRNA
CUCGUUUAUUGCAGAAGCUGUUACAACAUAUAUACUGUAGGGCUAGAGGGGAGGAGCAAGAGGAGGGUACUGGGGCUACUUCCUUGUUGCCGGGUAGAUUUGCAGCAGGCCCAGAUAUGUCCAUAAAAGGCACUCAAGAGUUCUAGCGGGGGGGCAAGGCCCCCCACAGGUCCUCCCUUUAAAAUUAUAAUUUUAGAAAGGCGUCAGGAGAGCCAAGCCUGUGGGGGCUGAGCCUGUCUUGGGUCAGAGCAACACACGUGUCUGCACCGUGCACCUUACCCGUCAUCGGUUAACCAGAGAAUCAAGGCUCUGGCACCUGUCUUAGGCGGCACACGAGGGCUCUCUCAUUGCAUGGCACGCUUGCUCAGUUGCCCGUCAUUGGCUUGCCAGCCCACUCACCAGGUGGGGCGAGAACACUUCGCCACGGCAAGGACCUAAUCGAUGGUCCGACAUUCGUCCUGGUCAGCCAUUGCCAAUCUAUUAUAGUAGACCUGUAUGGGCGCUGUUUUUAUUGCUUCUAUCUGGGCUCUAAGAAAGGCCAUGAUUUUGUUAUAAAGUACGGGCCCUAAAGAAAUGAGCAAGAGUAGACCCAAUAAGGGUCCCAGCAAAGGGAGGAGAUAAGGGAGGAAACCAUUGAGGCCAGUCCAGAGGGGAUUUUGAGUGAAUUUUUGUCGUCAUCUGUUUAAAUCUUCCUGAAGUUCGCGAAUUUUUCCCCUGACGAUCCCAGAUUUGUUGGCAUAAAAACAGCAAUGUUCAUUUAAGGCUAGACUGUGAAUAAGAGAGUUAAGCUACCCUGAUUAAGCUUUUGAAGAUAACCAAUGUGGACAUGCUACAAUAACAUAUUCAGAACUUAACCAAUAUGAACGUUUUGUAACAACAUAUUUAGUGCUUAAAUAUCAAGGACAACCAAUACAAUCAAUUUAUAACAUAUUUAGAUAAUAUUCAUUGUGAUAUGUCUCCCAUAAGAUUAUAUAAUAUAAAAUUUACUAGGGGGUCCCUUUAAUGAAUUAAGACCAGAAUAAUCAUUUUCUGGGUGGCCACUUCUAUAUUCAUCAAAGGGAGUUCCCAUCUAUAAUCGUUUUGACAAACAAUUAAGAAUAUAUAUCUUUUUAUUUUAUAACUGUUAAUUGCAAUUUGAUUGUUGCGUGUGGGU